GAUGAACGCUGGCGGCGUGCCUAAUACAUGCAAGUCGAGCGAACGGACGAGAAGCUUGCUUCUGAUGUUAGCGGCAGACGGGUGAGUAACACGUGGAUAACCUACCUAUAAGACUGGGAUAACUUCGGGAAACCGUAGCUAAUACCGGAUAAUAUUUUGAACCGCAUGGUUCAAAAGUGAAAGACGGUCUUGCUGUCACUUAUAGAUGGAUCCGCGCUGCAUUAGCUAGUUGGUAAGGUAACGGCUUACCAAGGCAACGAUGCAUAGCCGACCUGAGAGGGUGAUCGGCCACACUGGAACUGAGACACGGUCCAGACUCCUACGGGAGGCAGCAGUAGGGAAUCUUCCGCAAUGGGCGAAAGCCUGACGGAGCAACGCCGCGUGAGUGAUGAAGGUCUUCGGAUCGUAAAACUCUGUUAUUAGGGAAGAACAUAUGUGUAAGUAACUGUGCACAUCUUGACGGUACCUAAUCAGAAAGCCACGGCUAACUACGUG
rnacentral:rRNA from 1 species